GGCGGCAUGCCUUACACAUGCAAGUCGAACGGUAACAGGGAGCUUGCUCCGCUGACGAGUGGCGAACGGGUGAGUAAUAUAUCGGAACGUGCCCUGGAGUGGGGGAUAACUAGUCGAAAGAUUAGCUAAUACCGCAUACGAUCUAAGGAUGAAAGUGGGGGAUCGCAAGACCUCAUGCUCGUGGAGCGGCCGAUAUCUGAUUAGCUAGUUGGUGGGGUAAAAGCCCACCAAGGCGACGAUCAGUAGCUGGUCUGAGAGGACGACCAGCCACACUGGGACUGAGACACGGCCCAGACUCCUACGGGAGGCAGCAGUGGGGAAUUUUGGACAAUGGGCGCAAGCCUGAUCCAGCAAUGCCGCGUGAGUGAAGAAGGCCUUCGGGUUGUAAAGCUCUUUUGUCAGGGAAGAAACGGUGCGGGCUAAUAUCCUGUGCUAAUGACGGUACCUGAAGAAUAAGCACCGGCUAACUACGUGCCAGCAGCCGCGGUAAUACGUAGGGUGCAAGCGUUAAUCGGAAUUACUGGGCGUAAAGCGUGCGCAGGCGGUUAUGU
rnacentral:rRNA from 1 species